rnacentral:rRNA from 1 species
GACGAACGCUGGCGGCGUGCUUAACACAUGCAAGUCGAACGGAAAGGCCCUGCUUGCCGGGUACUCGAGUGGCGAACGGGUGAGUAACACGUGGGUGAUCUGCCCUGCACUUCGGGAUAAGCCUGGGAAACUGGGUCUAAUACCGGAUAGGAGCCAUUUUUAGUGUGAUGGUUGGAAAGUUUUUUCGGUGUAGGAUGAGCUCGCGGCCUAUCAGCUUGUUGGUGGGGUAAUGGCCUACCAAGGCGGCGACGGGUAGCCGGCCUGAGAGGGUGGACGGCCACAUUGGGACGGAGAUACGGCCCAGACUCCUACGGGAGGCAGCAGUGGGGAAUAUUGCACAAUGGGCGCAAGCCUGAUGCAGCGACGCCGCGUGGGGGAUGACGGCCUUCGGGUUGUAAACUCCUUUCGCUAGGGACGAAGCUUUUUGUGACGGUACCUAGAUAAGAAGCACCGGCUAACUACGUG